rnacentral:rRNA from 1 species
AGUGAACGCUGGCGGUAGGCCUAACACAUGCAAGUCGAACGGCAGCACAGUAAGAGCUUGCUCUUACGGGUGGCGAGUGGCGGACGGGUGAGGAAUACAUCGGAAUCUACUUUUUCGUGGGGGAUAACGUAGGGAAACUUACGCUAAUACCGCAUACGACCUACGGGUGAAAGCAGGGGAUCUUCGGACCUUGCGCGAUUGAAUGAGCCGAUGUCGGAUUAGCUAGUUGGCGGGGUAAAGGCCCACCAAGGCGACGAUCCGUAGCUGGUCUGAGGGGAUGAUCAGCCACACUGGAACUGAGACACGGUCCCGACUCCUACGGGAGGCAGCAGUGGGGAAUAUUGGACAAUGGGCGCAAGCCUGAUCCAGCCAUACCGCGUGGGUGAAGAAGGCCUUCGGGUUGUAAAGCCCUUUUGUUGGGAAAGAAAAGCAGCAGGUUAAUACCCCGCUGUUCUGACGGUACCCAAAGAAUAAGCACCGGCUAACUUCGUG